rnacentral:rRNA from 1 species
AAAUGAAUAGACGGGGGCCCGCACAAGCAGCGGAGCGUGUGGUUUAAUUCGAUGCAACACGAAAAACCUUACCAGGGUUUGACAUGCUAGAAGUAGGAACCUGAAAGGGCAACCAACUGUUAAGUCAGUAGCUAGCACAGGUGCUGCAUGGCUGUCGUCAGCUCGUGCCGUGAGGUGUAUGGUUAAGUCCUGCAACGAGCGCAACCCUCGUUGCUAGUUAAUUUCUCUAGCGAGACUGCCCCGCAAAACGGGGAGGAAGGUGGGGAUGACGUCAAGUCAGCAUGGCCCUUAUGCCCUGGGCUACACACACGCUACAAUGGGUGGUACAAUAGGUCGCGACAUGGCGACAUGUAGCUAAUCCUUAAAGCCAUCCUCAGUUCGGAUUGCAGGCUGAAACUCGCCUGCAUAAAGUCGGAGUUGCUAGUAACCGCAUAUCAGAAAGGUGCGGUGAAUACGUUCUCGGGCCUUGUACACACCGCCCGU